rnacentral:sRNA from 1 species
GCAACUCUCAUAUUUUUUAUAUAUUAAUAAAACAUAGGAGAAAAUCAAUAAACCUAGGAAUUUUGUUUUCUUCUUCUUCUUCAAUUUUUUUCAUUCGAAACACAAACAAGAAAUUGAAAAACAGAGACUGUGAUCGAGAGAAAGAAGACACAAUAUAACAUUAAGACAUUAGUUGAAAUCCAAGGACACAACAAUUAAAUCCGAAGACACAACAUAUCCAUCUUAAAGGUUAUACGAAUUUAAAUCCGAAAACACAACAUCUUUAUAGUUUUACAACGGGUUUCCAGUUCGAAUACCAUUUUUACAUUU